GAAGAUUCCCGUUUUGUCUGACAUGGUUUUCAAUAUCAUAAACGUUUGUACUGCAGUCACUGCUGUUUAACAUCAGUGACAGGUUACAUUUCCAUUAUGGUGUAAUAGCAUAUCCAGGUCAUAUCUGAAGAUAAAUGAUGGACAGAACUCUGAAGCAUAGAACAAGCUGCACAUUCAAAACUUGAGAACCACACUCUUCCUACACACCAGCCAGAGGAUUGAGCAACCCUGGUCUGGAUGAUUAUUGCUCUCAAACAUUUUUUAAAGCCAGGAAAUCUUUUAUUCAAAGGAAAUCUAAGUGGAAGAAUGCUACAAAGAUAUGCAAUGGUGGGACGCUCUGCUUUUCAGGCCUAAUGACAGGGAAACCUUAGUCCUUCUGAGAUGCCUUUGUCACCCUCCACAACUUCACACUGGAUUCUGCCCUCUUGAGUAAAGCAUAGUUGGAAAACCCCUGAUCUAGAGUGUCUUCAGAGUCUCGAAGGUAUAUGGACACUAUAAAUGCCCAAUGUUUCAUAAUUCAGACCUGCAUUCAAGUUUAUGAGAAGCAGAAUAACAAACUUUGCCAUGACUAUGGACAUAGUGCCAUCGUGAACUUGUCUGGGCCAGUGGUUGCCAAACUGGUCCAGUCAUCACAAUCAUUAGAGAAUGUUCUUUGAAAAAUGAAAAUCCUGCAGAAUCAGAAUUUUCAAGGGAAGUAAGCCGGCAGUCUACUUAUUUAAGAGUUCCCUAGGUGAAUUGAAAGAGUUGCAGGAAAUUCAGCUACAACCUUCAAAAGAGCAAUACCAUCUUUCUCAAGAGAUGUUUUUUGACUUGAGUUACUCAAAUAAA
rnacentral:lncRNA from 1 species